rnacentral:rRNA from 1 species
AACGAACGCUGGCGGCAUGCCUAACACAUGCAAGUCGAACGAGACCUUCGGGUCUAGUGGCGCACGGGUGCGUAACGCGUGGGAAUCUACCCUCAGGUUCGGAAUAACUCAGAGAAAUUUGAGCUAAUACCGGAUGAUGACGUAAGUCCAAAGAUUUAUCGCCUGAGGAUGAGCCCGCUUAGGAUUAGGUAGUUGGUGAGGUAAAGGCUCACCAAGCCGACGAUCCUUAGCUGGUCUGAGAGGAUGAUCAGCCACACUGGGACUGAGACACGGCCCAGACUCCUACGGGAGGCAGCAGUGGGGAAUAUUGGACAAUGGGCGAAAGCCUGAUCCAGCAAUGCCGCGUGAGUGAUGAAGGCCUUAGGGUUGUAAAGCUCUUUUACCCGGGAUGAUAAUGACAGUACCGGGAGAAUAAGCUCCGGCUAUCUCCGUG